AGCAUAUCAAUAAGCGGAGGAAAAGAAACCAACAGGGAUUGCCCCCAGUAACGGCGAGUGAAGCGGCAACAGCUCAAAUUUGAAAUCUGGCCCCAGGCCCGAGUUGUAAUUUGCAGAGGAUGCUUUUGGCGCGGUGCCUUCCGAGUUCCCUGGAACGGGACGCCAUAGAGGGUGAGAGCCCCGUACGGUUGGACACCAAGCCUUUGUAAAGCUCCUUCGACGAGUCGAGUAGUUUGGGAAUGCUGCUCUAAAUGGGAGGUACAUUUCUUCUAAAGCUAAAUAUUGGCCAGAGACCGAUAGCGCACAAGUAGAGUGAUCGAAAGAUGAAAAGCACUUUGAAAAGAGGGUUAAACAGCACGUGAAAUUGUUAAAAGGGAAGCGCUUGUGACCAGACUUGCGUCCGGUGAAUCACCCAGCUCUCGCGGCUGGGGCACUUCGCCGGCACAGGCCAGCAUCAGCUUGCCGUCGGGGACAAAAGCUUCAGGAACGUAGCUCCUCUCGGGGAGUGUUAUAGCCUGUUGUAUAAUACCCUUCGGCGGGCUGAGGUACGCGCUCCGCAAGGAUGCUGGCGUAAUGGUCAUCAGCGACCCGUCUUGAAACACGGACCAAGGAGUCAACCUUAUGUGCGAGUGUUUGGGUGUUAAACCCCUACGCGUAAUGAAAGUGAACGCAGGUGAGAGCUUCGGCGCAUCAUCGACCGAUCCUGAUGUUCUCGGAUGGAUUUGAGUAAGAGCAUAUAGGGUUGGACCCGAAAGAAGGUGAACUAUGCGUGUGUAGGGUGAAGCCAGAGGAAACUCUGGUGGAGGCUCGCAGCGGUUCUGACGUGCAAAUCGAUCGUCAAACAUGCGCAUGGGGGCGAAAGACUAAUCGAACCUUCUAGUAGCUGGUUUCCCCA
rnacentral:rRNA from 1 species